UACGUAGGGGGCAAGCGUUGUCCGGAUUUAUUGGGCGUAAAGGGCUCGUAGGUGGCCAACUAAGUCAGACGUGAAAUCCCUCGGCUUAACCGGGGAACUGCGUCUGAUACUGGAUGGCUUGAGUUUGGGAGAGGGAUGCGGAAUUCCAGGUGUAGCGGUGAAAUGCGUAGAUAUCAGGAGGAACACCGGUGGCGAAGGCGCACAUCUGGCCCGAUACUGACGCUGACAGCGCGAAAGCUAGGGGAGCAAACGGG
rnacentral:rRNA from 1 species